CUUGCGCCCUGAGGCGGUUUCCGUUCCCGGACGUUUGGACUCUGUCCUGGAGAAGGGGAAGGAAAAAGUAAGACGUAGAAGUACACUGAGACUUCGUCACACAUAAAACAAGCACGACAAAGAAAGAGGGCGCGAAGGGACUCCUGGAAGAAAUUGAGUCUACAUUUAAGAUCACCCUAAAAGUAGUGACGGCCUCUUCAUUACUCCAAACCCCAGAUUUAAGUCGGUAGGACGUCUUCGCGUUGACUUGUGGGGAAUGUAGUUUCGAUGCUGCCGGCGCGUUUUGUUUGCGACAGAAACUACAACCCCCAGGGGCCACCGCGACGUUGCCUGUGGGUGCCCGCGAACCAACGGUUAGCGGUGGCAGGGGCUGACUGAGAGCGUCUGCUUGUGCCUGGUACCUAGUACAAACUUAAUAAAUGUGUGACGCAAGAAUAAAGGAAUGAAUGAAUGGAAGAAUGAUAUAAUGCCACAGAACUUUCAAAGAUAAUGGAUUCUGAAUUAAUGCAUAGUAUAGUAGGAAGCUAUCAUAAACCUCCAGAAAGAGUAUUUGUUCCCUCAUUCACCCAGAAUGA
rnacentral:lncRNA from 10 species